rnacentral:rRNA from 1 species
UACAGAGGGUGCAAGCGUUGUCCGGAUUCAUUGGGCGUAAAGAGCUCGUAGGCGGUUUGUCGCGUCUGCCGUGAAAGUCCGGGGCUCAACUCCGGAUCUGCGGUGGGUACGGGCAGACUAGAGUGAUGUAGGGGAGACUGGAAUUCCUGGUGUAGCGGUGAAAUGCGCAGAUAUCAGGAGGAACACCGAUGGCGAAGGCAGGUCUCUGGGCAUUAACUGACGCUGAGGAGCGAAAGCAUGGGGAGCGAACAGG